UGGCUUUUCAGAGCCUCCAAACCGGAGACAUUUGGAAACACUUUUGACCCGGUUUUGGUUUGGAAUCUGCGGGGUUGUGUUGCAGUCUCACACGAAGACCUUUGGCAACACCGACACUGACGCCAAUGUUUUGCUGCCUGAUUGGGUCAUGACGUCUGGUUCUCUGAGACUUAGCUACUAACGUUACCAUGGCAACUACCAGCAACGCGC